UGGGGAAUUUUGCACAAUGGGCGCAAGCCUGAUGCAGCAACGCCGCGUGAACGAUGAAGGUCUUCGGAUCGUAAAGUUCUGUUGCAGGGGAAGAUAAUGACGGUACCCUGUGAGGAAGCCCCGGCUAACUACGUGCCAGCAGCCGCGGUAAUACGUAGGGGGCUAGCGUUAUCCGGAUUUACGGGGCGUAAAGGGUGCGUAGGUGGUCUUUCAAGUCGGUGGUUAAAGGCUACGGCUCAACCGUAGUUAGCCUCCGAAACUGGAAGACUUGAGUGCAGGAGAGGAGAGUGGAAUUCCCAGUGUAGCGGUGAAAUGCGUAGAUAUUGGGAGGAACACCAGUAGCGAAGGCGGCUUUCUGGACUGCAACUGACACUGAGGCACGAAAGCGUGGGUAGCAAACAGG
rnacentral:rRNA from 1 species